rnacentral:rRNA from 1 species
UUGAACGCUGGCGGCAGGCCUAACACCUGCAAGUCGAGCGGAUGAAGGGAGCUUGCUCCUGGAUUCAGCGGCGGACGGGUGAGUAAUGCCUAGGAAUCUGCCUGGUAGUGGGGGAUAACGUCCGGAAACGGGCGCUAAUACCGCAUACGUCCUGAGGGAGAAAGUGGGGGAUCUUCGGACCUCACGCUAUCAGAUGAGCCUAGGUCGGAUUAGCUAGUUGGUGGGGUAAAGGCCUACCAAGGCGACGAUCCGUAACUGGUCUGAGAGGAUGAUCAGUCACACUGGAACUGAGACACGGUCCGGACUCCUACGGGAGGCAGCAGUGGGGAAUAUUGGACAAUGGGCGAAAGCCUGAUCCAGCCAUGCCGUGUGUGUGAAGAAGGUCUUCGGAUUGUAAAGCACUUUAAGUUGGGAGGAAGGGCAGUAAGUUAAUACCUUGCUGUUUUGACGUUACCAACAGAAUAAGCACCGGCUAACUUCGUG